UCUCGUGUCUGGGCAAGCAGAGCUUUCAGAUGGAGCCGUGCUUGCAUUCUUGGUGUUACAUAGUCUCUGUUGUGCUCUUCUAACAUUAUCUUCAAACUUCAGGAAAGCCUUGUUUGAAGUUACAGCCCUGCAUCUGUGUGUUCUGAGGACUCAGGAUAGGGCCUGUGCCCACACUUGGGCCAAAGAGAUGCCGAAAAUGCUGUGUCUCAGACUUUUAGAGGUGAAUAUAAUUCAUAAAUCAGUGCAACCAGAAACUGCAACAUGUCACAUUGUAAUGAAUGUUUACAAGUAAAUAGAGAAGCCAAAGUCAGCCUAGCUGAACCUCAGUCUCCCACUUUUUCCUCACAAGCUAAAUGAACAUCUGAUCCACUCUUCUGCACCAAGAUCUCGACCAAAACAAAACUUCAGC
rnacentral:lncRNA from 10 species